rnacentral:rRNA from 1 species
UGGGGAAUAUUGGACAAUGGGGGAAACCCUGAUCCAGCAAUGCCGCGUGGGUGAAGAAGGCCUGCGGGUUGUAAAGCCCUUUCGGUGGGGAAGAAAUCCUGAUGGUAAAUAAUCAUCAGGUCUGACGUUACCCAAGGAAGAAGCACCGGCUAACUCUGUGCCAGCAGCCGCGGUAAUACAGAGGGUGCAAGCGUUAAUCGGAAUUACUGGGCGUAAAGAGUACGUAGGUAGUUAAAUAAGUUGGAUGUGAAAUCCUCGGGCUUAACCUGAGAACUGCAUUCAAUACUGUUUGACUAGAGUGUGGUAGAGGAAAGUGGAAUUCCUAGUGUAGCGGUGAAAUGCGUAGAUAUUAGGAGGAACAUCAGUGGCGAAGGCGACUUUCUGGACUAACACUGACACU